rnacentral:rRNA from 2 species
UUAAGCGACUAAGCGUACACGGUGGAUGCCCUGGCAGUCAGAGGCGAUGAAGGACGUGCUAAUCUGCGAUAAGCGUCGGUGAGGUGAUAUGAACCGUUAUAACCGGCGAUUUCCGAAUGGGGAAACCCAGUGUGUUUCGACACACUAUCAUUAACUGAAUCCAUAGGUUAAUGAGGCGAACCGGGGGAACUGAAACAUCUAAGUACCCCGAGGAAAAGAAAUCAACCGAGAUUCCCCCAGUAGCGGCGAGCGAACGGGGAGGAGCCCAGAGCCUGAAUCAGUGUGUGUGUUAGUGGAAGCGUCUGGAAAGGCGCGCGAUACAGGGUGACAGCCCCGUACACAAAAAUGCACAUAUUGUGAGCUCGAUGAGUAGGGCGGGACACGUGGUAUCCUGUCUGAAUAUGGGGGGACCAUCCUCCAAGGCUAAAUACUCCUGACUGACCGAUAGUGAACCAGUACCGUGAGGGAAAGGCGAAAAGAACCCCGGCGAGGGGAGUGAAAAAGAACCUGAAACCGUGUACGUACAAGCAGUGGGAGCCUCUUAAUGGGGUGACUGCGUACCUUUUGUAUAAUGGGUCAGCGACUUAUAUUCUGUAGCAAGGUUAACCGAAUAGGGGAGCCGAAGGGAAACCGAGUCUUAACUGGGCGUUAAGUUGCAGGGUAUAGACCCGAAACCCGGUGAUCUAGCCAUGGGCAGGUUGAAGGUUGGGUAACACUAACUGGAGGACCGAACCGACUAAUGUUGAAAAAUUAGCGGAUGACUUGUGGCUGGGGGUGAAAGGCCAAUCAAACCGGGAGAUAGCUGGUUCUCCCCGAAAGCUAUUUAGGUAGCGCCUCGUGAAUUCAUCUCCGGGGGUAGAGCACUGUUUCGGCAAGGGGGUCAUCCCGACUUACCAACCCGAUGCAAACUGCGAAUACCGGAGAAUGUUAUCACGGGAGACACACGGCGGGUGCUAACGUCCGUCGUGAAGAGGGAAACAACCCAGACCGCCAGCUAAGGUCCCAAAGUCAUGGUUAAGUGGGAAACGAUGUGGGAAGGCCCAGACAGCCAGGAUGUUGGCUUAGAAGCAGCCAUCAUUUAAAGAAAGCGUAAUAGCUCACUGGUCGAGUCGGCCUGCGCGGAAGAUGUAACGGGGCUAAACCAUGCACCGAAGCUGCGGCAGCGACGCUUAUGCGUUGUUGGGUAGGGGAGCGUUCUGUAAGCCUGUGAAGGUGGCCUGUGAGGGUUGCUGGAGGUAUCAGAAGUGCGAAUGCUGACAUAAGUAACGAUAAAGCGGGUGAAAAGCCCGCUCGCCGGAAGACCAAGGGUUCCUGUCCAACGUUAAUCGGGGCAGGGUGAGUCGACCCCUAAGGCGAGGCCGAAAGGCGUAGUCGAUGGGAAACAGGUUAAUAUUCCUGUACUUGGUGUUACUGCGAAGGGGGGACGGAGAAGGCUAUGUUGGCCGGGCGACGGUUGUCCCGGUUUAAGCGUGUAGGCUGGUUUUCCAGGCAAAUCCGGAAAAUCAAGGCUGAGGCGUGAUGACGAGGCACUACGGUGCUGAAGCGACAAAUGCCCUGCUUCCAGGAAAAGCCUCUAAGCAUCAGGUAACAUCAAAUCGUACCCCAAACCGACACAGGUGGUCAGGUAGAGAAUACCAAGGCGCUUGGGAGAACUCGGGUGAAGGAACUAGGCAAAAUGGUGCCGUAACUUCGGGAGAAGGCACGCUGAUAUGUAGGUGAAGCGACUUGCUCGUGGAGCUGAAAUCAGUCGAAGAUACCAGCUGGCUGCAACUGUUUAUUAAAAACACAGCACUGUGCAAACACGAAAGUGGACGUAUACGGUGUGACGCCUGCCCGGUGCCGGAAGGUUAAUUGAUGGGGUUAGCGGUAACGCGAAGCUCUUGAUCGAAGCCCCGGUAAACGGCGGCCGUAACUAUAACGGUCCUAAGGUAGCGAAAUUCCUUGUCGGGUAAGUUCCGACCUGCACGAAUGGCGUAAUGAUGGCCAGGCUGUCUCCACCCGAGACUCAGUGAAAUUGAACUCGCUGUGAAGAUGCAGUGUACCCGCGGCAAGACGGAAAGACCCCGUGAACCUUUACUAUAGCUUGACACUGAACAUUGAGCCUUGAUGUGUAGGAUAGGUGGGAGGCUUUGAAGUGUGGACGCCAGUCUGCAUGGAGCCGACCUUGAAAUACCACCCUUUAAUGUUUGAUGUUCUAACGUGGGCCCGUAAUCCGGGUUGCGGACAGUGUCUGGUGGGUAGUUUGACUGGGGCGGUCUCCUCCUAAAGAGUAACGGAGGAGCACGAAGGUUGGCUAAUCCUGGUCGGACAUCAGGAGGUUAGUGCAAUGGCAUAAGCCAGCUUGACUGCGAGCGUGACGGCGCGAGCAGGUGCGAAAGCAGGUCAUAGUGAUCCGGUGGUUCUGAAUGGAAGGGCCAUCGCUCAACGGAUAAAAGGUACUCCGGGGAUAACAGGCUGAUACCGCCCAAGAGUUCAUAUCGACGGCGGUGUUUGGCACCUCGAUGUCGGCUCAUCACAUCCUGGGGCUGAAGUAGGUCCCAAGGGUAUGGCUGUUCGCCAUUUAAAGUGGUACGCGAGCUGGGUUUAGAACGUCGUGAGACAGUUCGGUCCCUAUCUGCCGUGGGCGCUGGAGAACUGAGGGGGGCUGCUCCUAGUACGAGAGGACCGGAGUGGACGCAUCACUGGUGUUCGGGUUGUCAUGCCAAUGGCACUGCCCGGUAGCUAAAUGCGGAAGAGAUAAGUGCUGAAAGCAUCUAAGCACGAAACUUGCCCCGAGAUGAGUUCUCCCUGACCCUUUAAGGGUCCUGAAGGAACGUUGAAGACGACGACGUUGAUAGGCCGGGUGUGUAAGCGCAGCGAUGCGUUGAGCUAACCGGUACUAAUGAACCGUGAGGCUUAACCUU